AGAGUUUGAUCAUGGCUCAGAUUGAACGCUGGCGGCAGGCCUAACACAUGCAAGUCGAACGGUAACAGGAAGCAGCUUGCUGCUUUGCUGACGAGUGGCGGACGGGUGAGUAAUGUCUGGGAAGCUGCCUGAUGGAGGGGGAUAACUACUGGAAACGGUAGCUAAUACCGCAUAACGUCGCAAGACCAAAGAGGGGGACCUUCGGGCCUCUUGCCAUCGGAUGUGCCCAGAUGGGAUUAGCUAGUAGGUGGGGUAACGGCUCACCUAGGCGACGAUCCCUAGCUGGUCUGAGAGGAUGACCAGCCACACUGGAACUGAGACACGGUCCAGACUCCUACGGGAGGCAGCAGUGGGGAAUAUUGCACAAUGGGCGCAAGCCUGAUGCAGCCAUGCCGCGUGUAUGAAGAAGGCCUUCGGGUUGUAAAGUACUUUCAGCGGGGAGGAAGGGAGUAAAGUUAAUACCUUUGCUCAUUGACGUUACCCGCAGAAGAAGCACCGGCUAACUCCGUGCCAGCAGCCGCGGUAAUACGGAGGGUGCAAGCGUUAAUCGGAAUUACUGGGCGUAAAGCGCACGCAGGCGGUUUGUUAAGUCAGAUGUGAAAUCCCCGGGCUCAACCUGGGAACUGCAUCUGAUACUGGCAAGCUUGAGUCUCGUAGAGGGGGGUAGAAUUCCAGGUGUAGCGGUGAAAUGCGUAGAGAUCUGGAGGAAUACCGGUGGCGAAGGCGGCCCCCUGGACGAAGACUGACGCUCAGGUGCGAAAGCGUGGGGAGCAAACAGGAUUAGAUACCCUGGUAGUCCACGCCGUAAACGAUGUCGACUUGGAGGUUGUGCCCUUGAGGCGUGGCUUCCGGAGCUAACGCGUUAAGUCGACCGCCUGGGGAGUACGGCCGCAAGGUUAAAACUCAAAUGAAUUGACGGGGGCCCGCACAAGCGGUGGAGCAUGUGGUUUAAUUCGAUGCAACGCGAAGAACCUUACCUGGUCUUGACAUCCACGGAAGUUUUCAGAGAUGAGAAUGUGCCUUCGGGAACCGUGAGACAGGUGCUGCAUGGCUGUCGUCAGCUCGUGUUGUGAAAUGUUGGGUUAAGUCCCGCAACGAGCGCAACCCUUAUCCUUUGUUGCCAGCGGUCCGGCCGGGAACUCAAAGGAGACUGCCAGUGAUAAACUGGAGGAAGGUGGGGAUGACGUCAAGUCAUCAUGGCCCUUACGACCAGGGCUACACACGUGCUACAAUGGCGCAUACAAAGAGAAGCGACCUCGCGAGAGCAAGCGGACCUCAUAAAGUGCGUCGUAGUCCGGAUUGGAGUCUGCAACUCGACUCCAUGAAGUCGGAAUCGCUAGUAAUCGUGGAUCAGAAUGCCACGGUGAAUACGUUCCCGGGCCUUGUACACACCGCCCGUCACACCAUGGGAGUGGGUUGCAAAAGAAGUAGGUAGCUUAACCUUCGGGAGGGCGCUUACCACUUUGUGAUUCAUGACUGGGGUGAAGUCGUAACAAGGUAACCGUAGGGGAACCUGCGGUUG
rnacentral:rRNA from 1 species